rnacentral:rRNA from 1 species
AUUGAACGCUGGCGGCAUGCCUUACACAUGCAAGUCGAACGGUAGAGGGGGCAACCCCUUGAGAGUGGCGAACGGGUGAGUAAAGCAUCGGAACGUGCCCAGUAGUGGGGGAUAGCCCGGCGAAAGCUGGAUUAAUACCGCAUACGACCUACGGGUGAAAGGGGGGGAUCGCAAGACCUCUCGCUAUUGGAGCGGCCGGUGUCAGAUUAGGUAGUUGGUGGGGUAAAGGCCUACCAAGCCGACGAUCUGUAGCUGGUCUGAGAGGACGACCAGCCACACUGGGACUGAGACACGGCCCAGACUCCUACGGGAGGCAGCAGUGGGGAAUUUUGGACAAUGGGCGCAAGCCUGAUCCAGCCAUGCCGCGUGCGGGAAGAAGGCCUUCGGGUUGUAAACCGCUUUUGUCAGGGAAGAAAUCUUCUGGGUUAAUACCCUGGGAGGAUGACGGUACCUGAAGAAUAAGCACCGGCUAACUACGUGCCAGCCGCCGCAGUAA